UACAGAGGUCUCAAGCGUUGUUCGGAUUCAUUGGGCGUAAAGGGUGCGUAGGUGGCGCCGUAAGUCGGGUGUGAAAUUUCGGAGCUUAACUCCGAAACUGCAUUCGAUACUGCGGUGCUUGAGGACUGGAGAGGAGACUGGAAUUCAUGGUGUAGCAGUGAAAAUGCGUAGAGAUCAUGAGGAAGACCAGUGGCGAAGGCGGGUCUCUGGACAGUUCCUGACACUGAGGCACGAAGGCCAGGGGAGCAAACGGG
rnacentral:rRNA from 1 species